CAGGCCUAAUACAUGCAAGUCGAACGAUACCGAGUAGCUUGCUAUUCGGGAAAGUGGCGCACGGGUGCGUAACGCGUAUGCAACCUACCUCAAUCAGGGGGAUAGCCCGAAGAAAUUCGGAUUAACACCGCAUAAAAUCACAGGAUAGCAUUAUCUAAUGAUCAAAUAUUUAUAGGAUUGAGAUGGGCAUGCGUGUCAUUAGUUAGUUGGCGAGGUAACGGCUCACCAAGACCACGAUGACUAGGGGAUCUGAGAGGAUGACCCCCCACACUGGUACUGAGACACGGACCAGACUCCUACGGGAGGCAGCAGUAAGGAAUAUUGGUCAAUGGAGGCAACUCUGAACCAGCCAUGCCGCGUGCAGGAAGACAGCCCUCUGGGUCGUAAACUGCUUUUAUUCGGGAAUAAACCUACUUACGUGUAAGUAGCUGAAUGUACCGAAGGAAUAAGGAUCGGCUAACUCCGUGCCAGCAGCCGCGGUAAUACGGAGGAUCCAAGCGUUAUCCGGAUUUAUUGGGUUUAAAGGGUGCGUAGGCGGCUUAUUAAGUCAGGGGUGAAAGACGGUGGCUCAACCAUCGCAGUGCCCUUGAUACUGAUGAGCUUGAAUACACUAGAGGUAGGCGGAAUGUGACAAGUAGCGGUGAAAUGCAUAGAUAUGUCACAGAACACCGAUUGCGAAGGCAGCUUACUAUGGUGUUAUUGACGCUGAGGCACGAAAGCGUGGGGAUCAAACAGGAUUAGAUACCCUGGUAGUCCACGCCCUAAACGAUGAAUACUCGCUGUU
rnacentral:rRNA from 1 species